UACGAAGGGGGCUAGCGUUGCUCGGAAUCACUGGGCGUAAAGGGCGCGUAGGCGGCCAUUCAAGUCGGGGGUGAAAGCCUGUGGCUCAACCACAGAAUUGCCUUCGAUACUGUUUGGCUUGAGACCGGAAGAGGUUAGUGGAACUGCGAGUGUAGAGGUGAAAUUCGUAGAUAUUCGCAAGAACACCAGUGGCGAAGGCGGCUAACUGGUCCGGUACUGACGCUGAGGUGCGAAAGCGUGGGGAGCAAACAGG
rnacentral:rRNA from 1 species